GCCACACGAUGGCUCUGCUCUGCACAUUCAGCUCGACGCUCUGGUCCGGACUGCUGAGUUCCUGUGACAAACUGAAUCCACACGGAACAGGGAAUGUCGUUUACACCUUUACGUUCAGUCUCAUCAGCAGCAUGACAGACAGCGUCUGUUUAUGCUGGUGAUGUUCAUGUCAAUUCAGAGAAAUUCAAUUCAAAUACAAACCUGCAGCGUCACUCUCUCCUACAACACAAACUUUUCAUAAGUGCAGCUGGAUUUGAAUGGGAGCAUCUCACCUCACAGAACCUUUGGGGACAGGAAUGGUGGCACAGACGUUGACAGCAGAGCUGCAAAACACAUCAUCAUCAUCAUCCUCGGGUUAUUACCACAGACACCAUCAUGACAACGUCGUCUACCUGCUCUCUGGUGGACUGGAUGGGUCUGGUGGCUGCAGAACUCGGAGCCACUUUACUCUGUUGUGUGUCUGCUCCAAACUGCAAAAAAACAACAGGCGUUUUCAUUUGAACCUUUAGUUGCAUCCAACUGUUUUCCAGGAUGCAGAAGGUAGUAAGACACAUAAUGAUGUUAACACUACAUACUACACGUACUGUCUUCAGUCGUCUUUUUAGGAGCAUCUUUCACAUUAAAACUCUGCUUCUCAAUUACUUUCUGUUACGUCCCCUGCAGUUUGAAACAAGCAUUUUGCACCCCCUCAGAAGUUGAUAAAAAGCUAAAUUCUUUCAGCUUUUCAAAUGAGGUUGGGAGUCGAACCUAUAACAUUUGUAUCAACAGCGUAAUGCGCUAAUCCCUGCACCAAACAAUGAGUAACCUUUAACGUUCGGUAUGCUCCCUUAUAUAGUUUCCAUAAUUCAGCGCUUGCUGGUUUAAUGAAGUAGCGUUCACAAAGCGGGACGAUUGUUGGCAAUAUUCGUCACAUUUUCAUGGAAAAAACUUAGUGUGAUCGUGAUUUAAUGUCUAUAAGUGACGUCUUAACUAUUUGGCUUCAUGCUGUCCGCUGCCAACACUUUUAGACACCGUAAACAUAGCAGUCUUUCCUCGUCUCCCACCGUAGUCACAGGGAAGCUGAUCGUUACAUAUGCUCCGUCAUAUUUUUUAUCUUUUUAUCCCAGGUAAAUGCUUUUCCCUGGUUUGUUAUCUGCACUUCAUUUGUCCAGCUCUGUGCUGUUUCCUAUUCAGUGCUAAAAACUACCCGUGUCAAAAAAGCAUGUUCCCUGGGGUCACAUGCACUCACAUACCAAGCCCACGUUGCUGAGGUCAAAAAGGCUGAAGGGUCUGGAGGAAAUCGCUUCAGUCUGGAUGAAGUUCUUCAGGACGUCAGAGGAUGUGGUCUGAAUAUGGCCGUAGUCCUGACAGACACAGUUGCAUGGUUUUAAAUCCAAGAGCUCUCACCUGAUUUAGUACAACACACACUGCAUUCACAGUUGAAAGUCUGGCUCCAACAACGGGCUCCUAUGUUGCUAAACUUUAUAUAUUAAAAUGUUUUGUCACCUUCUGUCUCUAACAAAAAAAUAUACACUUUAUUUGCCCAUAUUGACAUGUAGACCUGGGCCUUCUGUCAGUCGAUGUCCGUUGAUGCAUGAUGCAUGAUCCUUGUUUUUAUUCCACGGUUACUAAUUCAUGGAAUCGAAAAAGCAAGAACACCCCAGAGACUCACCACAACCUCGUCCAGCAACUCGUAGAUAAGUGCGAAGUUCAUCUGCACCGACUUUUCUGACAAGCUGCCACAGUAGUCUUUAACCAGAGCCGAUAACCUGAGAACCCAGACAGUUUCAAAUCCCAACUCAUCAUCAACUGAGACUUGUAUUAAAAUUUUAACAAUUUAAAGUAAUAUAAUAAAAUGGGGUUAAAUGUUCGUUUUUAACCUAUGUUGAAAAGAAAAUAAACCCUUAAAUUAAAGCUUA